GCCGUGCUUUGGCCGUAUUUUAGCCUAUCUCGUCUCACGUUGCUGAAUAGGACUCGAGACUUGACGCGACGGAUGUGUGACGUACAAAAAUCGAAAUGCGAUUGCUUGUGACAUAAUUUUCCUGCGAGCACAAAAGUGACUGAAAAUUAGGUCAAUGGAUUAGAGAAGAAACUGAAGACGAACUUCGCACGUAGAUGUAUCAAAACGAGAAUGUCUGAAGUAAAAUUUUUAAGGAAGAACAAUAGGAGCGCUCGAUCCGAAUUACUCUGAUCGGAUAUCACGCAGAUAGUAAAACGAAGAAAGCCUUCCACACAUCCGUCAUGCGCUGAUUUUCGUGUAGAAAGUUGUUGCGGACGUAACUGUAAAUCCUAAGGGCCGCAUUGCACUAUCUUGCGCUAGAAAAUUGUACGUUACAUUAAUACGGUACAAUCUGUAAUUAUUCAGAACAUGUUACAGUUUAUAAAGCGAAAUGAGUAAGAUGAGAGAGUAAAAGGAGAGCGAAUGUGACACGAAUUAAAAAAAGAAAAUACAAAUUCGUCGAUUUUCUCAGAUUCUCGAAA